ensembl:snRNA U2 U2 spliceosomal RNA
CUACCUGGAGACCAUAUAUUAAAUAGAUUUUUGGAACAGGGAGAUGGAAUAGGGGCUUGUUCCAUCCACUCCACACACAGACCCAGUAUCGCAGCACCUCUGUGAACAGUGUACCUCCC